GUCCACGCCGUAAACGAUGAUAACUAGUUGUUCGGGCACUUGGUGCCUGAGUGACGCAGCUAACGCAUUAAGUUAUCCGCCUGGGGAGUACGGUCGCAAGAUUAAAACUCAAAGGAAUUGACGGGGGCCUGCACAAGCGGUGGAGCAUGUGGUUUAAUUCGAAGCAACGCGCAGAACCUUACCAGCGUUUGACAUCCCGCGCUAACACAAGAGAUUGGGUGUUCCCUUCGGGGACGCGGUGACAGGUGCUGCAUGGCUGUCGU
rnacentral:rRNA from 1 species